GUAGAACAUCAAAGGGCAACAGCUCCAGAGUGAACCCCUGAAUGUACCCAGCACUAGCUACUGUGGCUACUCUAAUGGCUCCAACAAAUGAAGCUAAACAUUGAGAGCAUUUGCAGAGUGUGACAAGUGUGGAUGGUAGUGGAGUGUCACAUACCCAGAGCUGGUGACGAGGGAGCUGAAGUGGGAGUGCGUCAAGACGACGUUUGUGGCAGCACACUCUGUAGCACAGCCUGCGUCGGCUCACUUGCUAGGCAACCUCUGAAUGCUGCCUUUCUCAAGUGUUUGGGAGGAGUUAUACCAUGAAAACGACAGUGGAGCCUGCUCUGCUCUCUUGUUCCAUGGAAGAGUAUUGUCCAAGAAAUACUUACAUUGCUGGUCAAUGGAGACAAACAACUGCUGGGUCACUUUGUUCUGGUACAAGAACUGAGAAAGACCACUUCUCAGUCAAGUCUCAAACUGCCUCCAAGCCCUUGUGACAUGGGAGAGAACUGGACUCAGGUUCUGGAUCUACCUGUUUUAAGUGUAAAAAUCCAAUUUUCAUCCAAACAGAAGUCGGUCUAAGAGCCAUGAACAUUGAGCUGAGUUUCAAGACAAGCAAACAUGGGGGAAGGCACAAAACCAAGCCUCAAUAUAUCCUAUGGCUAGUUACUCACACAGCUGUAGAAAAGAAACCCAUGGCUCUGCAUUCUCCUCAGUCUGCCCCUCAGGCUGCAUAAGAAUCCUCUAAUUGUUCUGUCUCCUUCAGUAGAGCUGAGGACUAGUACUGUUCAUCUUAGACUGAACUCACAGACAAGCUUCCAAGCUUUCAAAAUAAUACUUGCAGCAACUGCAAAAAUGCAUUGAUAGUAGGUGUUUCUGUAGUUAUGUUAAAUUUUUGGUGUUCUUUAUUAACUUCAGAAUAACAACAUUGUCAGUCAUUCCAGGAUAUUUUCUUUGUAAAUCGUAUCCAGCUCUAAACUAAUAUGUCCUGAUAAUUACACCACUUCCAUGAAAAAUCUCAAAGCUUUAUCUCCAUGAAAAAUAAGACAUUACAUUCCAGUCAUUAAACACAUCUCUUUGCUUUUAUAGUUUUAACAUAGCUGAUGUGUGACUCAGAAAACAGAUACAUGAUUUGGUUUUGCUGUCAUCAAUUUCUCUAGCACAUGAACAAUAGUAUUUCAGCCCACUCCUAUGCUGCUAAGAAAAUUUCUGCCACUUAGGGCAAGUAGUAUGAUAUGAAUCUCCUUUCCCCUAUAUUUUUCAGAGCUGCAGGUACUUGUUUUACUUUGCCAUUAGCAAGUUUCACUUCAGAAACUGUAGCUAUCGAUUCAGUUUCUAUUAGCAAUAUAUGAGCCUGGCUGGCACAAGAGGUGCUUAGAUCCAUUGUGUAGUAAGAGUUGAGAUUCUUGGGCUGAUGUGACCUCAAAGAAGCAAGAUAGAUAGAUCUGAACCUUUUGCACCACAGCAGUUCAUUCCUCACACCACAAGCUGUGGCACAAGCUGCAUAGUCAGCAUGAUGCCACAGGGAAUAUUACCUUUCCAUCAGAACCCCAGUAUUUGUCUUGUGGUGUAUCCUCUCAGACACAGCUGCUGCAUUUCACUUGUUUCCCUGGAACUUUCUUCUUCCAGAAAAAAUUCAGGUUCCUUCUGCUCUUACUGACAGAUGGGAUGUUCAAUUUUCUAGUAUUAUCAAGCGUAUAAUCUCAGUGGCAAAAUUUCUCAUUGAUUUAAAUGCACUUCAGUAUGACUAACUCUUCUAUUGGAAUGUCUUUCAGAAUUCCAGGUGUCCAGUUACAGAUGGGAAAUUUUCCUGGAAAGGUUUUCUUAACUUCUCAUGAAAAUUAUAAGCUAAAGUUUGAGAUUCUGGAGUAAAGCCUAUCAAAGUAGAAAAAAACCCCAAAGUACCAUCAACAUUCAGAAGGCUCUAGAUCUGACCUAUUAAAAUAGACCAGCCAGAUAUGUCUUUUCAUUUCAGUGAUGAAAUGAACUAUUUAUAUUUGAGCUCAGAAAUUUCAGGUGGGGUGAACAAAGAUUUCUAUCAGAUCUUCAUAGUUCAUAUUCUUAUUUUUGAAGGACUCAUAUGGAUUUACAACAGAACAACUAAGAUUCUUAUGCAUGAAGACUGAUUGAAAAUGUAUAUGUAUAAAAAUAUCAGAAGAAAGAAUUCAAUCAGAAGAAUGACAAGAAUUGUUUACCAAGGAAACAGCUGUUUUAACUAAAAUCUGAAAAGUGUGUAUUUGCAUCAGGAUAAGAAAGCUGUUGCUCUGAUAAGGCCACAGUAGAGAUGACUUCUCAGCAGAAAGCUUGUGCUAUGAUAACAGGAGAAAGGCAACAAGCUACAACUCUGUGUGCUGUUUCUUCCCCUACCUGUUAUCCCAAGAGGAAUUUGGUCUAAGAUUUGUGGAAAAUGAAGCAAAAACAUAUCUUGAGGUAAAAGGUCAUGAUACCUAGUGUUGCUCCAGCUGUGUAUGAAAUAACCCUGGGUGAUGAUGCUUCCAGACUUAUUCCUUGGGGAAACCAAGCAGUAUUUAAUAAGCCUGUCUUUAUGAGGAAUUUUUCCUUCUUACUAGCCUAGAGUCCCCUGAAAUCAAACACAGUGUCCACAUCAUCAUAUUUAAAAAUCAGUAAGACUUUCAUUGAGGGAAAAAGCCCCAUAGAAACCCUUUGCAUUCAUUCUCAUAGGUAAACAUCUCCUGAUUUUAUACGGAUCUGAAAUUUGGACCAGAAUUUUGUUUAGCAAAUAAUUAUUUUAUGGAAGAUUCUUUAAACUUGUUUGCUCUGAACAUGACUGUCUGUGCAGCCACCAUAGGUCACUCGGUGGCUUGUGGGGAAGAUGUUUAAUUUUGCACAGAAAAAGUGUUCCAUUUUCUCUCCCAAAGGUGAAGUGAUGACUCUGUCUGCAAGACUGGAUGCUCAUUUUCAACAACAAUUUCUUUAAGGAAUAAGUAGUCAUUCAGUUGAGUGUCUUUUAAUGUUGUUAAUCCAGUUAAGUGCUUGUGCAAAGGAGCUAACAAUAAUGGCUAACCCAUCUGAAAGUCACCCAUAAUUGUCAGGAUCUGGCAAAAGGCUGCCUCAAACACACCGGCUCAUACCCUGCAGCUGACAUGUCUUCUUCCCUUGAAGCUCCCUUUCUGCACUUCUUUCUGUCUUGGUUUAUUUUGUCAUGUCAAGUAAUGUCAUAGCUGUGACAAUCUUGUUUCCAAAGUCUUUAGUACUCAUUCCUGACCAGUUUAUCUCAGAAAAACUCUUUUAUUCCCUUUCAGUAAUUUAUAAACUAUAGCUGGUGUCUUCAUAAGAUGGUUUUUCACAGCAUUUAAGUUUUAAAUUAUGUUAUUAUGGCCAUAAGCUAUAAGACAAAGGAUCACGUAGUGGGAACGAUUUUCUGACAUGAAAAUCAGUUUUUGCAUAAUUCAAAUGUUCUGGAGAAAAAGAUGAAUAAAAAAUUUUGUUCUGGCUCUGCUCAUCACCAAAUAUAUUUAUUACUGUAAUGUAAAAGUAAAUGAAGUAAUUAUUUUAAUGUGUAAAUGUAUAUUUUAUUGUGAAAUAUUUUAACUUUAUUCAGUGGGCCUAAAUUGAAUCAUUUCAACAGAACUUUGAAUUGCACUUUUUAUUGUCUUUUGACUGCUGUCUCCUAUUGGACCCAUGACUGCUGGAAAUCAUACAUGCUGUAUAAAUGUAUACAUGGGCCCUUUAA